rnacentral:tRNA from 1 species
AUUUAUAUAGUUUAAAACAAAACAUUACAUUUUCAUUGUAAAAUUAAAUAAUUCAUUUUUAUAAAUA